GGACUUUGGCCCUUCGGGGUAGAUCUCCCACCCCAUGUAUUACUACUUUGUUGUUGCGGCCCUCGCCACGCUUCGGCUGGUGCUGCCCGCCAGAGGACCCCAACUCUGAAUGUUAGUGUCGUCUGAGUACUAUAUAAUAGUUAAAACUUUCAACAACGGAUCUCUGGUUCUGGCAUCGAUCAAGAACGCAGAAAUGCGAUAAGUAAUGUGAAGCAGAAUUCAGUGAAUCAUCGAAUCUUUGAACGCACAUUGCGCCCUCUGGUAUUCCGGAGGGCAUGCCUGUUCGAGCGUCAUUACAACCCUCAAGCUCUGCUUGGCCUUGGGCAUCACCGGCAACGGUGGGCCUCAAACCCAGUGGCGGUGCCAUCUGGCUCUAAGCGUAGUAAUUCUUCUCGCUAUAGGUGCCCGGUGGAUGCUUGCCAACAACCCCCAACUUCUUAAGGUUGACCUCGGAUCAGG
rnacentral:rRNA from 1 species